UCGAGAAUCUUCGGCAAUGGGCGCAAGCCUGACCGAGCGACGCCGCGUGGAGGACGAAGGCCUUCGGGUUGUAAACUCCUGUCGAGGGGAAGGAAGGGGCCGCGAGGCCCUUGACCGCUCCCUGGAGGAAGCACGGGCUAAGUUCGUGCCAGCAGCCGCGGUAAGACGAACCGUGCGAACGUUAUUCGGAAUCACUGGGCUUAAAGCGCGUGUAGGCGGGUCGGAACGUCGGCCGUUGAAAUCCCCCGGCUCAACCGGGGAAGUGGCGCCGAUACGACCGACCUGGAGCGACGUAGGGGGAACUGGAACUUCCGGUGGAGCGGUGAAAUGCGUUGAGAUCGGAAGGAACGCCCGUGGCGAAAGCGAGUUCCUGGACGUCGGCUGACGCUGAGACGCGAAAGCCAGGGGAGCGAACG
rnacentral:rRNA from 1 species